CCUACAUAGAGUAGCUCAAGAUGUCAGUUCCUGGGGAUUUAGAAACAUUUGGGAGAAAUUAACUUUGUGGUUUCCUGAAUAGAAUUGGCUCAAACAACUAUUUGUUGGUAUUGUAAUAAUAAUGGCACUGUAUAUCUACAAUCCCCUCUG